rnacentral:tRNA from 1 species
UGCAUAGGCCGGGAAUCGAACCCGCGUGACAGGCGAGCAUUUUACCACUGAACUACCGAUGC